CAUUUUCACAGUUGCACCAGCCCAAGGAGACUGACUGAAAAUGAAAAUACGCGAGCGUACCACGACAAUCCGAAAUGGGGAAAAAAAUAAAAGAGGCGAAGCGACGACUACAAAGCGACGAGGCCUGUGUGUGCGAGUGUAUCUGUGAGAGGGCACCUCCCAGAGUAUCUUCGGGGUGUAUCCGAGUGAAAAGAAUGAAAAGCGCCCGAAAACGCACGAAGUAGCGCACGGAACAUUAUACAAUGUGCAUCGCAGAGUUAACCCCAAAAAGAAAGAAAGAACUGAAGGGGCUCGAGCGAAAAGUGAAAUCGAGAGCGACAAACUUCAUGGAUACGGAGAUAAGCACCGGCCAUCUGGGAAGUAAAUCAACUGCAGAUUUUGAUUUAUUACUGCGACUAAUGAAGCUGUUCAAGUGGAAAACCAAGUGCCUACUUUGUCCGGGCAAAUAAACAUCCCUCCCUCUCUUCGAGGGUGGUAAAUAGACCCCGAAGAGCCUGAAGACGAGGCUUCCGGCAGGAAGAAGAUCGAGUUCCCCGAUAGAAGGCAUGUGCACGUGCUGCAACCAAAGCAAACAUAUGCCCCCUCUUGAAACUCAACACCGAACAUAAAACUAUAUCACAGAAUCGGAGUUCGAGGGGGGUUAAAGUACGGGGGCGCGCACAAGUGCUCAUUAACAAUUACAAACAGACGAUCAGUCAGUCGAGCGUACUACAUUUUCCAAUAAAACUAUUAUAAAUGCGCAUAAA